rnacentral:rRNA from 1 species
UACGUAGGGGGCAAGCGUUGUCCGGAUUUACUGGGCGUAAAGAGCGUGUAGGCGGCCAAGCAGGUCCGUUGUGAAAACUGGGGGCUUAACCUCCAGACGUCGACGGAAACCGCGUGGCUAGAGUCCGGAAGAGGAGAGUGGAAUUCCUGGUGUAGCGGUGAAAUGCGCAGAUAUCAGGAAGAACACCAAUGGCGAAAGCAGCUCUCUGGGACGGUACUGACGCUGAGACGCGAAAGCGUGGGGAGCGAACAGG